AGGGUUUGAUCAUGGCUCAGAACGUACGCUGGCGGCACGCCUAACACAUGCAAGUCGAACGAAGUAGCAAUACUUAGUGGCAGACGGGUGAGUAACAUGUGGGUAUCUGCCCUUUGGCCUGGAAUAACACGAGGAAACUUGUGCUAAUACCGGAUAAGUCUUUACGGAGAAAGCUUUAUGCACCAUUGGAUGAGCCCGCACUUGAUUAGUUUGUUGGUGGGGUAAUGGCCUACCAAGACUGUGAUCAAUAGCUGAUUUGAGAGGAUGAUCAGCCACAUUGGGACUGAGACACGGCCCAAACUCCUACGGGAGGCAGCAGUGGGGAAUCUUGCACAAUGGAGGAAACUCUGAUGCAGCGAUGCCGCGUGAGUGAAGAAGGCCCUUGGGUUGUAAAGCUCUUUCGUCGGGGAAGAAAAUGACUGUACCCGAAUAAGAAGGUCCGGCUAACUUCGUGCCAGCAGCCGCGGUAAUACGAAGGGACCUAGCGUAGUUCGGAAUUACUGGGCUUAAAGAGUUCGUAGGUGGUUGAAAAAGUUGGUGGUGAAAUCCCAGAGCUUAACUCUGGAACUGCCAUCAAAACUUUUCAGCUAGAGUAUGAUAGAGGAAAGCAGAAUUUCUAGUGUAGAGGUGAAAUUCGUAGAUAUUAGAAAGAAUACCAAUUGCGAAGGCAGCUUUCUGGAUCAUUACUGACACUGAGGAACGAAAGCAUGGGUAGCGAAGAGGAUUAGAUACCCUCGUAGUCCAUGCCGUAAACGAUGUGUGUUAGACGUUGGAAAUUUAUUUUCAGUGUCGCAGCGAAAGCGAUAAACACACCGCCUGGGGAGUACGACCGCAAGGUUAAAACUCAAAUGAAUUGACGGGGACCCGCACAAGUAGUGGAGCAUGUGGUUUAAUUCGAAGAUACGCGCAGAACCUUACCAACACUUGACAUGUUCGUCGCGACUCUAAGAGAUUAGAGUUUUCGGUUCGGCCGGACGAAACACAGGUGCUGCAUGGCUGUCGUCAGCUCGUGUCGUGAGAUGUUGGGUUAAGUCCCGCAACGAGCGCAACCCUCACUUUUAGUUGCCAUCAUUAAGUUGGGCACUCUGAAAGAACUGCCAGUGAUAAGCUGGAGGAAGGUGGGGAUGACGUCAAGUCCUCAUGGCCCUUACGUGUUGGGCUACACACGUGCUACAAUGGUAUCUACAACAGGAAGCAAGACUGCGAAGUUAAGCAAAUCCCUAAAAGAUACCUCAGUUCGGAUUGCACUCUGCAACUCGAGUGCAUGAAGCUGGAAUUACUAGUAAUCGUGGAUCAGCGUGCCACGGUGAAUGCGUUCCCGGGUCUUGUACACACCGCCCGUCACACCAUGGGAGUUGGUUCUACCUUAAGGCAAGGUUUCAAACCCUUGACCACGGUAUAGUCAGCGACUGGGGUGAAGUCAUAACAAGGUAACCGUA
rnacentral:rRNA from 1 species